UUAAAGCUAGCCUGUACACCUACCUUAAACCCAACCCUAUUAAUUACUUCACAUACUAAUCCCUAACUAAAACAUUUUUACCUUUUUAGUAUGGGCGACAGAACAAAAACUCAGCGCAAUAAAUUAUGUACCGCAAGGGAAAGCUGAAAAAGAAAUGAAACAAAUAAUUAAAGUAACAAAAAGCAGAGAUUCCACCUCGUACCUUUUGCAUCAUGAUUUAGCUAGAAAAACUAGACAAAGAGAUCUUAAGCCUACCUUCCCGAAACUAAACGAGCUACUCCGAAGCAGCACAAUUCUAGAGCCAACCCGUCUCUGUGGCAAAAGAGUGGGAAGACUUCCGAGUAGCGGUGAAAAGCCUAUCGAGUUUAGUGAUAGCUGGUUGCCCAAGAAAAGAACUUUAAUUCUGCAUUAAUUUCUUCAUUACCAAAAAGUCUAUCUUACCAAGGUUAAACAUAAAAAUUAAUAGUUAUUCAGAAGAGGUACAGCCCUUCUGAACCAAGAUACAACUUUUGAAGGAGGGAAAAUGAUCAUAUUUAUUAAGGUUUCCACCUCAGUGGGCUCAAGAGCAGCCACCUGUAAAGUAAGCGUCAUAGCUCCAGUUUCACGAAAACCUAUAAUUUAGAUAUCUUCCUCAUAACCCCCUUAACUAUAUUGGGCUAUUUUAUAAAAUUAUAAAAGAACUUAUGCUAAAAUGAGUAAUAAGAGGAUAAACCUCUCCAGACACAAGUGUACGUCAGAAAGAAUUAAAUCACUGACAAUUAAACGACUCCAGACUGAGGUCAUCAUACCAAUAUUAUCUUAACUAGAAAAUCCUAUUAUAACAUUCGUUAACCCUACACAGGAGUGUCUCAAGGAAAGA
rnacentral:rRNA from 1 species